AUGGGGGAGCUCCCACAACCCCCCUCUGUGUUCCCUUUGUUCCCCUGUUGUGACGACAUUGCUGGGAGCUCCACUUGUGAGGUGACUGUAGCCUGCCUCGUGACUGGCUAUUUCCCGGAGCCCGUGGACAUCAAGUGGAAUUCUGGCACAGUGACCAAUGGGAUCAAGACCUUCCCAGCCGCGGCACAGAGCAGUGGCAGGGCCUUCACCCUCAUCAGCCAGCUCACCGUCCCUGCCUGGGACCUGGUGAACAACACCUACCAGUGCAGUGUGGAGCACACUCCCUCCCAUAAAAAGAUAGAUGUGGAGAUCACGAAUGGUAUCCAUUUUCUCUCUUUGCUCCCAGUAUGUGAGGCUCUCAUUCAUCCUGAGGUUCGCCUCCUAGGCCCCUCCUGUGAGCGCAACACCUUGGAGAAGCAGCUGGAGGUGGUUUGCCUCCUCCUGAGAUUCAGCCCCGGUGCAGCCAAAGUGGAAUGGCUGGUGAAUGGCGAGAAGGGGAACCUUCCCACCACGGACUUGUCCAUUUGGAAGGGCACAGACGGCUCCUACAUGGGCCAGAGCCGAGUGAACGUCACCAAGGAGAGCUGGGAGAAGGAGGACGUCUACACCUGUAAAGUGACCCACCCAGCGAGGGGAACGGAGCACUUCAUGCACAACACCAGCAAGUGCUUGGCCUGUCUCGGUAACUCAGUGGCUCCAUCCGUCUUUGUCACCGAGCCGUCCUACGAUGACCUGAUUGGGGAGACAGCCCGUGUGAUGUGCUUGGUGCUGGGCUAUAUCUUGGUAGAUGUUCAGGUGGCUUGGGAAGUGGAUGGGAAAGCCAGCUCUGAGGUGGAGACAGGAGCCCCGGAACAAGCCAAUGGGACUCAGAGCAUCACCAGCACCCACAAAAUAACCUUGGAGCAAUGGAAGAGCAGGACCAACUUCACUUGCAAAGUGAAACUUCCUUGUUUUGGAGAAGUCACCCAGGAUAUGCCACUCAUGGACACGACCUACCCUGCCCAUGAGCCUACUGUCUCAGCCAGUGUCUCCUGCCCGGACCCAGAGGAAACUCCAAGGAAGAGAGAUUCCCACACGUUCCUCUGCGACGUCACUGGAUUCUUCCCAGCAGACAUCAGUUUCCGCUGGGAGCACAACGGCUCCAUAGUUCCUGCCUCCCAGUACAGCAGUGGCCCCAUCGUCAGAUCUGGCCAGGCCUACUCCGCUCAGAGGAUCUUGAGAGUCCCCAGGCCCAAGGGGGAAGGAGAAGCGGGGCCCCAGUAUUUCUGCCUGGUGUGGCACAUGACGCUGAAUGAAACCUUGAAGGUCAAGGUGAAGGCAGGGAAUUGUGACGGAAACUGUAAUCAACAUCCUCUGGAGGUCUUUCUCCUUCCCCCUUCCCUGGAGGAUCUCUACAUAGGGCAGAACGCCACCAUCAGUUGUUUGGUGAGUAGCAUGGAGACCCGCGGAAGCCUGGAGGUCUCCUGGAACUGGGGUAGCGGUGGCUCAUUGGCCAUGGUCUCCAGGGAGCCGGUGCUGCAGGAAAAUGGCACCUACAGUGCAACCAUCAUCCUGCGGGUGUGCGUGGAGGAGUGGCAGGCGGGGGAGGAGUUCACCUGCACAGUGAAGCACCAAGACAUCCCGUCGGCCAUUGUCAAGAGCAUCCACAAGAGUCAUGCGGUCUCUCCCCGUAACCCUUCUGUCUACAUCUUCCCUCCUCACGCUGAGGAGCUGGCUCUCCGGGAAUCGGCCACCAUCACCUGCCUGGCCUCCGGCUUCCGGCCCAGAGACAUCUUGGUGACAUGGACCCAGCAGGACCGACCCGUGCCCCAGGAAGCCUACACCAACAUCGGCCCCGUCCGGGAGGCCGGGAAGGAGGAGCGCUACUUCAUCUACAGCAAGCUCAAUGUCUUGGCAUCUGAAUGGGGACGGGGGGACACGUACGCCUGCGUGGUGGGGCACGAGGGUCUGCCCAUGACCUUCGUCCAGCGGAGCGUGGACAAAGCCUCCGGUAAACCCACCGCCGUCAAUGUCUGUGAUCUUGUCCGAUACCGACGUCACCUGCUACUGAGGAGCAAAGCCGCGUGGGCUCCUCACGGCAUAUCUGAGAUGGCCAGGGAACCUCGUGGGGUCUGGGAUUCCUCU